GAUGAACGCUAGCGGCAGGCUUAAUACAUGCAAGUCGAGCGGCAGCGCGGGGGCAACCCUGGCGGCGAGCGGCGUACGGGUGAGUAAUACAUCGGAACAUGUCCUGUCGUGGGGGAUAGCUCGGCGAAAGCCGGAUUAAUACCGCAUACGAUCUACGGAUGAAAGGUGGGGGAUCGCAAGACCUCACGCGAUUGGAGUGGCCGAUGUCGGAUUAGCUAGUUGGNGGGGUAACCGGCCCACCAAGGCGAUGAUCCGUAGCUGGUCUGAGAGGAUGAUCAGCCACACUGGGACUGAGACACGGCCCAGACUCCUACGGGAGGCAGCAGGUGGGGAAUAUUGGACAAGUGGGGGCAACCCUGAUCCAGCAAUGCCGCGUGAGUGAUGAAGGCCUUAGGGUU
rnacentral:rRNA from 1 species